UACGUAGGCAGCAAGCGUUGUUCGGAGUUACUGGGCGUAAAGGGUGUGUAGGCGGUUGCUUAAGUUUGGUGUGAAAUCUCCCGGCUUAACUGGGAGGGUGCGCCGAAUACUGAGUGACUAGAGUGCGGGAGAGGAGAGUGGAAUUCCUGGUGUAGCGGUGAAAUGCGUAGAUAUCAGGAGGAACACCGGUGGUGUAGACGGCUCUCUGGACCGUAACUGACGCUGAGACACGAAAAGCGUGGGUAGCAAACAGG
rnacentral:rRNA from 1 species